AUCAGUGUGCGACUAAGCCAUGCGAGUCAAAUGUUCUUCGUGAACAUGGCGUACUGCUCAGUAACACGUGGAUAAUCUGCCCUAAGGUCAGGGAUAACUCCGGGAAACUGGUGAUAAUACCUGAUAAACCAUUGAAUCUGGAAUGAUCUUUGGUUCAAAGCUCCGGCGCCUUAGGAUGAAUCUGCGGCCUAUCAGGUUGUAGUGGGUGUAGUGUACCUACUAGCCGACGACGGGUACGGGUUGUGAGAGCAAGAGCCCGGAGAUGGAUUCUGAGACAUGAAUCCAGGCCCUACGGGGCGCAGCAGGCGCGAAAACUUUACAAUGCGGGAAACCGCGAUAAGGGGACACUGAGUGCCAGCAUCUUAUGUUGGCUGUCCACAUGUGUAAAUAGCAUGUGUUAGCAAGGGCCGGGCAAGACCGGCGCCAGCCGCCGCGGUAACACCGGCGGCCCGAGUGGUGACCACUAUUAUUGGGUCUAAAGGGUCCGUAGCCGGUUUGAUUAGCCUUCCGGGAAAUCUGACAGCUCAACUGUUAGGCUUCCGGGGGAUACUGUCAGACUUGGGACCGGGAGAGGUAAGAGGUACUACAGGGGUAGGAGUGAAAUCUUGUAAUCCUUGUGGGACCACCAGUGGCGAAGGCGUCUUACCAGAACGGGUCCGACGGUGAGGGACGAAAGCUGGGGGCACGUACCGGAUUAGAUACCCGGGUA
rnacentral:rRNA from 1 species